rnacentral:rRNA from 1 species
GAUGAACGCUGGCGGCGUGCUUAACACAUGCAAGUCGAACGGAAAGGCCCAAGCUUGCUUGGGUACUCGAGUGGCGAACGGGUGAGUAACACGUGGGUGAUCUGCCCUGCACUUCGGGAUAAGCCUGGGAAAUUGGGUCUAAUACCGGAUAGGACCACAUUUUGGAUGGUGUGGUGGAAAGUUUUUCGGUGUGGGAUGAGCUCGCGGCCUAUCAGCUUGUUGGUGGGGUAAUGGCCUACCAAGGCGUCGACGGGUAGCCGGCCUGAGAGGGUGUACGGCCACAUUGGGACUGAGAUACGGCCCAGACUCCUACGGGAGGCAGCAGUGGGGAAUAUUGCACAAUGGGCGCAAGCCUGAUGCAGCGACGCCGCGUGGGGGAUGACGGCCUUCGGGUUGUAAACUCCUUUCGCUAGGGACGAAGCGUUUUUGUGACGGUACCUGGAGACGAAGCACCGGCUAACUACGUG